CGCUGGCGGCGUGCCUAACACAUGCAAGUCGAACGAGGUCCAUGCAGUGGCAACACUGCGGAAGACCUAGUGGCGAACGGGUGAGUAACACGUGAGGAACCUGCCCCGAAGACCGGGAUAACCCUCCGAAAGGAGAGCUAAUACCGGAUACCCCCACCUGGUCGCAUGGCCGGGUGAGGAAAUGGAUUCCGCUUCGGGAGGGGCUCGCGGCCCAUCAGGUAGUUGGCGGGGUAACGGCCCACCAAGCCAAAGACGGGUAGCCGGUCUGAGAGGAUGAUCGGCCACACUGGGACUGAGACACGGCCCAGACUCCUACGGGAGGCAGCAGUGGGGAAUCUUGCGCAAUGGGCGAAAGCCUGACGCAGCAACGCCGCGUGGGUGAUGAAGGUCUUCGGAUCGUAAAGCCCUGUCAGGGGGG
rnacentral:rRNA from 1 species